rnacentral:rRNA from 1 species
CUUUACUGUAGCAUACUAUUGGGUCUAGAUAUAUUCUGUGUAGGAUAGGUGGGAGGCUUCGAUCCCGGGGCGCCAGCUCCGGGGGAGCCGUAAGUGAAAUACCACUCUCUGUAUAUUUGGACUCUAACCGGGUGCCGUGAAACCGGGCCUGGAACAGUGGUAUGUGGGCAGUUUGACUGGGGCGGUCUCCUCCUAAAGAGUAACGGAGGAGCGCAAAGGUACCCUCAGCACGGUUGGCAAUCGUGCGAAGAGCGCAAAGGUAGAAGGGUGCUUGACUGCGAGUCAUACUCGACAAGCAGAUGCGAAAGCAGGCCUUAGUGAUCCGGUGGUUGUGUGUGGAAACGCCAUCGCUCAACGGAUAAAAGGUA